rnacentral:rRNA from 1 species
CAGUCGCCGCGGGAAUACGUAGGUGGCAAGCGUUGUUCGGAAUUAUUGGGCGUAAAGGGCUCGCAGGCGGUUUCUUAAGUCUGAUGUGAAAGCCCCCGGCUCAACCGGGGAGGGUCAUUGGAAACUGGGAAACUUGAGUGCAGAAGAGGAGAGUGGAAUUCCACGUGUAGCGGUGAAAUGCGUAGAGAUGUGGAGGAACACCAGUGGCGAAGGCGACUCUCUGGUCUGUGACUGACGCUGAGGAGCGAAAGCGUGGGGAGCGAACAGGAUUAGAUACCCCCGUAGUCCCUGUCUCUUAUAC